rnacentral:tRNA from 1 species
UCCCUGGUGGGCCAGUGGUUAAGCCUCUGCACUCCCAAUGCAGGGGGCCUGAGUUCAGUCCCUGGUCAGGGAA